AGCAGCCGCGGUAAUUCCAGCUCCAAUAGCGUAUAUUAAAGUUGUUGCAGUUAAAAAGCUCGUAGUUGAAUUUCGGGAUCAAUUUGCUGGUCGUGCCUCCGGUACGUACUGGUAUUAUUGGUUUCUCCCUUCUGACUAACCAUGAUGUCAUUCAUUUGGUGUUGUGGGGAAUCAGGACUGUUACUUUGAAAAAAUUAGAGUGUUUAAAGCAGGCAUAAGCUUGAAUACAUUAGCAUGGAAUAAUGAAAUAGGACGUUUGAUCCUAUUUUGUUGGUUUCUAGGAUCGACGUAAUGAUUAAUAGGGAUAGUUGGGGGCAUUAGUAUUCAAUUGUCAGAGGUGAAAUUCUUGGAUUUAUUGAAGACUAACUACUGCGAAAGCAUUUGCCAAGGAUGUUUUCAUUAAUCAAGAACGAAAGUUAGGGGAUCGAAGACGGUCAGAUACCGUCGUAGUCUUAACCAUAAACUAUGCCGACUAGGGAUCGGAUGAUGUUAAUUUUUUAAUGACUCAUUCGGCGCCUUA
rnacentral:rRNA from 1 species